rnacentral:misc_RNA from 1 species
CGUCAUUAAACCCAAUCGGCCCCGCCUUAGUCGGUGCCGGUCUUGGGCGUCGGGGGACCCGCGCCUCAAUUUCACCGGCUGGACGACCCGAAUCUCAGCGUUGUGGCUUCACAUCUCGCUGAUUGAGACCGGUCGGCCACGCCGUUAAAGCCUUUUCACAGGUUGACCUCGGAUCGGGUAGGAAUACCCGCUGAACUUAA